UACGGAGGGGGCUAGCGUUGUUCGGAAUUACUGGGCGUAAAGGGCUCGUAGGCGGCCAACUAAGUCGGAUGUGAAAUCCCCAGGCUUAACCUGGGAACUGCAUCCGAUACUGGAUGGCUUGAAUUCGGGAGAGGGAUGCAGAAUUCCAGGUGUAGCGGUGAAAUGCGUAGAUAUCUGGAGGAAUACCGGUGGCGAAGGCGGCAUCCUGGACCGACAUUGACGCUGAGUGAGCGAAAGCUAGGGAGCAAACGGG
rnacentral:rRNA from 1 species